CGCACCUUGCACCCUUUGGUAUUCCGAAGGGUAUGCUCGUUUGAGUGUCAUUCUAAUCUCACACCUAAGACUCUUUUGUCAAAGGAGGUGGACGUGGAGCUUGCUGAUGAAAAUUGGCUGCUCUCAAAUGCAUUAGUGUGGCUUAGGUCUAGGCGCUUGAUGCCCGGUGUAAUAAAUGUUUCGCCGUGGUUAGUCUUAACUUAUCGCUUCAUGCUUCUAACUGUCUCUUGACUGAGACUAUUGCGCAAGCAGUACAUUGACAAUUUGACCUCAAAUCGAGUAGGACUACCCGCUGAACUUAA
rnacentral:misc_RNA from 1 species